rnacentral:rRNA from 1 species
UAGGGAAUCUUCGGCAAUGGACGGAAGUCUGACCGAGCAACGCCGCGUGAGUGAAGAAGGUUUUCGGAUCGUAAAGCCCUGUUGUUAGAGAAGAACGUUGGUAGGAGUGGAAAAUCUACCAAGUGACGGUAACUAACCAGAAAGGGACGGCUAACUACGUGCCAGCAGCCGCGGUAAUACGUAGGUCCCGAGCGUUGUCCGGAUUUAUUGAGCGUAAAGCGAGCGCAGGCGGUUCUUUAAGUCUGAAGUUAAAGGCAGUGGCUUAACCAUUGUACGCUUUGGAAACUGGAGGACGUGAGUGCAGAAGGGGAGAGUGGAAUUCCAUGUGUAGCGGUGAAAUGCGUAGAUAUAUGGAGGAACACCGGUGGCGAAAGCGGCUCUCUGGUGUGUAACUGACGCUGAGGCUCGAAAGCGUGGGGAGCAAACAGG